rnacentral:rRNA from 1 species
UACGGAGGGUGCGAGCGUUGUCCGGAAUCACUGGGCGUAAAGGGCGCGUGAGGUGGCGCGGGAAGUCAACGGUGAAAGUUCGGGGCUCAACCCUGAAUCGGCCGUGGCGACUCGUGGGCUGGAGCACUGUAGAGGCGGGUGGAAUUCCGGGUGUAGCGGUGAAAUGCGUAGAGAUCCGGAGGAACACCAAAGGCGAAGGCAGUGUCCUGGGGAGUACCUGACGCUCAGGUGCGAAAGCCAGGGGAGGCGAACGGG